rnacentral:rRNA from 1 species
UACGUAGGCAGCGAGCGUUGUUCGGAGUUACUGGGCGUAAAGAGUGCGUAGGCGGUUUUCUAAGUUUGGUGUGAAAUCUCCCGGCUCAACUGGGAGGGUGCGCCGAAGACUGGAAGGCUUGAGUAUGGGAGAGGUAAGCGGAAUUCCUGGUGUAGCGGUGAAAUGCGUAGAUAUCGGGAGGAACACCUAUGGCGAAGGCAGCUCGCUGGGACGUUACUGACGCUGAGACGCGAAAGCGUGGGGAGCAAACAGG